rnacentral:misc_RNA from 1 species
UUUCCAUUGAUAGUAUUUAGAAUUUUAAAAAUAUUACAAGAAAAUUUAAACUAGGAAAAGGAAAUAGAACAAAUAUAAUUUGCUUUAGAGAACAUAAAGCAGCAGAAAAAAAAAAAGAUAACACGAAAAUCAUUCAUCAAGUAACAACAAUCCCAGAUAUUGAAUUGUAAGGAAUUAGACCACCAACCGGAUCAGAUUUCUUUAAGAUUGAGGCUUCUCCCACUUGAGUGGCUUGACAAUCUCCCAUGUGAAGUCUGGGUCGUCCCUUCCAAAGUGUCCAUAAGCAGCAGUCUUCAAGAAUCUGCCAUUGCCACCCCUCUUGAGA